rnacentral:lncRNA from 1 species
GGAGAAAAAAAAACAAAAACAAAAAACAACAACAAAAAAAAACAAGCUAGGAUAACUCUUUAUACAUAGCUAUAAAGCAAAAUUGAUGUGAAAGCAUAAAAGUGAUUUUUACCUUCACAAAUGCUCUCCAGGUACUUGAGCUGUGAUGUGUAACUUCUCUACAGCAGCAGUGUAAAUAAGAGCUGGGAUUUGCAGAGCAGUACCUGGUAAACUAACACGAAGCUAUCCCUGACACUGAACAUAAAUGGAAUUCAAUCAGGUUCCAACUUUGAACAGGAGGACUGAGAGGACUUCUUAAAUGAGACAGACAGAGUCUUUUUACAACAUGUUGUGUUGGUGACUGGAUAGUUCUGGGGACUAAUGAGGAGAUAGAAAAUCACAGUGAACUCAGCAACCAUUUCAAAUCCAAUUUUCUUCAACAGCUUUCCAGCCCUGAGCAGCACUGCACCAAGCCUGGCGUUGGUUCUUCUGAGCCCCAGCAGCCUUCACUUCACUGAGCUUGGAAGUCUCUGUUUCCUGAAUCAACACACCCAGCACUUGGCUUUUUCUUCCCGCUGUUACCCAGAUCGCAGGCCUGAUCACACUGUGGGCUACACACAUGGUUUAUGCUGCUGGACUGUACAUAGGAAAGAGGAACCACAUAAAGGAUGGGUCAGGAUGCUUGUGACAUGGAGGAUCAGCCUCCACAUGACUGAAGAGAAGAAAAAGGAAAGCACUGCCAUAAAAGUGACAGCAGAAGUGAAGAAUAGUGGCAGAUGCGUAAUGUGCCACUGGAAAGGAG